rnacentral:rRNA from 1 species
CCUACGGGAGGCAGCAGUGAGGAAUAUUGGUCAAUGGACGAGAGUCUGAACCAGCCAAGUAGCGUGAAGGAUGACUGCCCUAUGGGUUGUAAACUUCUUUUAUAAAGGAAUAAAACGAGGCACGUGUGCCUUUUUGCAUGUACUUUAUGAAUAAGGAUCGGCUAACUCCGUGCCAGCAGCCGCGGUAAUACGGAGGAUCCGAGUGUUAUCCGGAUUUAUUGGGUUUAAAGGGAGCGUAGAUGGGUUGUUAAGUCAGUUGUGAAAGUUUGCGGCUCAACCGUAAAAUUGCAAUUGAUACUGGCAGUCGUGAGUACAGUUGAGGUAGGCGGAAUUCGUGGUGUAGCGGUGAAAUGCUUAGAUAUCACGAAGAACCCCGAUUGCGAAGGCAGCUUACUAAACUGUGACUGACAUUGAUGCUCGAAAGUGUGGGUAUCAAACAGGAUUAGAUACCCGGGUAGUC